GAAGAGACUUUGGUUCAUCCCCUUUAGGGGAACUAAAGAAGACGAAGAAAACGAAGAAGAGACUNUGGGGUGUGUUCUUCCCCUUUAGGGGAACCCCUGCGUCUCCCCGAAGGGUAACACUUCUUCCCCUAAAGGGGAAGAAGAAGAGACUUUGGUUCCCCUUCUUCCCCUAAAGGGGAAGAAAACGAAGGGGAAGACUUUGGUUCAUCCCCUUUAGUUCUUCCCCUAAAGGGGAACUUUAGGGGAUGAACCAAAGAAGACAACCCUAAAGAAGACAACCCUAAAGAAGACAACCCUAAAGAAGACAACCCUAAAGAAGACAACACUAAAGAAGACAACACUAAAGAAGACAACCCUAAAGAAGACAACCCUAAAGAAGACAACCCUAAAGAAGACAACCCUUUAGGGGAUGAAGAAGAAGAACAAGAAGGGGGACAAGAACGUCGGCCGUACUUAUAGCGGUUGAAGCGAAAAGUCAACCUUGUACCCUUCGGGGAAGGUGCUUCACUUGUUGUCUAAAAGUAACACGUGGGCUUGCUCAUUGCGAAAGUAGGUGCACUGACCUAGACAGAGCCUACGCUGUACCUACGUUGGGACAACUAGAACUGUUUCGUUAAUUUGUUACACACCUUUAGGUGACUCGACAUGACAGAUAGGAAGUCCGAAGCUUCAAGUGCGAUGUACGUUGCCUAGGAUGUUUCUCACCAUACUAGUAUGGUGAGAAACAACCAAGGUGCGCUGCACCGGCUUUCGGAUUUAAGCCAUUAGCUGCGUCUGGUCUAUGGCUAGAUAGUUACCAAUAUAAAAU
rnacentral:lncRNA from 1 species